rnacentral:rRNA from 1 species
UACGUAGGUGGCAAGCGUUGUCCGGAUUUACUGGGCGUAAAGGGAGCGUAGGUGGAUAUUUAAGUGGGAUGUGAAAUCCCCGGGCUUAACCUGGGGGCUGCAUUCCAAACUGGAUGUCUAGAGUGCAGGAGAGGAGAGUGGAAUUCCUAGUGUAGCGGUGAAAUGCGUAGAGAUUAGGAAGAACACCCGUGGCGAAGGCGGCUCUCUGGGACGGUACUGACGCUGAGACGCGAAAGCGUGGGGAGCGAACAGG